rnacentral:tRNA from 3 species
GGGCCCGUGGUCUAGCGGUUAUGACGCCGCCUUCACAUGGCGGAUAUCGGCGGUUCAAAUCCGCCCGAGCCCA